AGCAGGCGAGCAGUUUACACGGAAUCCAAGCGCUCAGCGGGGAGCAGAGCAAGGCCGAGUGUUUUCCCCAGCUGCUGAGGAAGGAAUCGUCUCUUCAAGGGCAGAAAAUGAAAGAUAAAGCCAGACUGUGAUGUGAGUUCAAGGUGGAUGGACCAUUUUUAUUGGAAGAAUGGGGAAAGACUCCAUGUAGCAGAUAACAACAGUUAACAAAUUGGGCCUCCACCUCUCCUGGGCACUCUUCAAGCUUUACACAGUAGUCUCAUUUACUCCUCACACCAACAACAUGGCUUGUCCCUCAUGAGGAGCCUAGAGUAUUACCCCUCACCCCCAAAGGGUGCUGCAUAGAAGACCAACUGAAGCUACCAUGAUUGCUGCAAAUUCUCAACAUCUCAGAUUCCACUGGGUUCUCUGCCAAAAUGGUAGUCAACAGCCCAACCCAACAGUUUUUCCAACUUGACUCAAACUUUCUUGUCUCGUUUCCUCAUAUUGGGGUUGUGGGGCUGGAGUGGGGGUAGGGAGUGAGAAAGCAAGCUUGGAGGCUUCACUGUGCCCCCACUAAGUCUUGAGUUCCUGAAGAUGGGGCUUUGUCUUCUCCUUUUUAUAUCCCCAGAAGAGAAUACGGUGCUGGGGAGACAGAUGCACAGUGAUGCCUAUCAGAUGAGCAAAUGAAGGUGAUUCGGGGGCACUUUCUGAUGCACUGAACAAAUGGCCACACUGAUGGUUUGUCCUCCUGGGCCCUCAGGCAGGAGUCACUUGGCACAGGCUUCAGCUUGUGAAGUCCCCGGAAACCUGUGGGCACAGUUCCUGGGAAAUCUUUCAUUUUCACCACAUCUUCUAAGCUUCUACAGCAGCUCAGGAAGGGGGUGGUUUUCUUAGAGAGCCCAACCCAUUGAUAUGCUGGGUGGGUUGUUGAAAACCAACCUGGAGA